GGGGAGUGAAAAAGAACCUGAAACCGUGUACGUACAAGCAGUGGGAGCACCCUUCGGGGUGUGACUGCGUACCUUUUGUAUAAUGGGUCAGCGACUUAUAUUCUGUAGCAAGGUUAACCGAAUAGGGGAGCCGGAGGGAAACCGAGUCUUAACCGGGCGUUAAGUUGCAGGGUAUAGACCCGAAACCCGGUGAUCUAGCCAUGGGCAGGUUGAAGGUUGGGUAACACUAACUGGAGGACCGAACCGACUAAUGUUGAAAAAUUAGCGGAUGACCUGUGGCUGGGGGUGAAAGGCCAAUCAAACCGGGAGAUAGCUGGUUCUCCCCGAAAGCUAUUUAGGUAGCGCCUCGUGAAUUCAUCUCCGGGGGUAGAGCACUGUUUCGGCUAGGGGGCCAUCCCGGCUUACCAACCCGAUGCAAACUGCGAAUACCGGAGAAUGUUAUCACGGGAGACACACGGCGGGUGCUAACGUCCGUCGUGAAGAGGGAAACAACCCAGACCGCCAGCUAAGGUCCCAAAGUCAUGGUUAAGUGGGAAACGAUGUGGGAAGGCCCAGACAGCCAGGAUGUUGGCUUAGAAGCAGCCAUCAUUUAAAGAAAGCGUAAUAGCUCACUGGUCGAGUCGGCCUGCGCG
rnacentral:rRNA from 1 species